rnacentral:SRP_RNA from 1 species
AAACGGGUAGGUGCUGCACGGCCAGCUCCUUUCAAAUCCUCCAGGGCUUGACCGCAGCAAAGGUAGAAGGUCGUAGCGGCGCGAUGCAGAGAGCUUACCCACC